UCCUGCUCUUUAUUUCGGCGGCGGCGGCGGCGGCGGCGCCAGGUCCUCAGCGUCUCUCCUCCUCGCUCCCCUCCCCGCCGUUUCCUUAGCGGCCCCAGGUCUCUUCCACAGGCGAGUCUAGAGUUCGCUCCUCUCUGGUGGCAGCCGCCUUGGGUGGCGGUGGUUUUGUACCCUCUCCCGGCCGGCUCCGGUGGCGGGGACUGGGCUCCUGCUGGGCGGCCGGGGAGGCGUAGGCCCGGCGGAGAGUGCAGGCCGCGGGCCAGCGGAAUCUACUUGAGCUCGGGGAUUAGGAGAGCUCCGGGCUGAGCGGAGCGACUGCUGGUCGGUGACAGGCCUCGCCCGGGAGAGGAGCCGUAGCCAGUGAGCAGGCGGAAACAAUACAACUAACAGCAAAUGUGCCCUGAUCGUCCCCAUAUUUACAACUUUCCCGGUCCGGGAGUGGGGAACGUCCCAGUGAAACAAACAACCCCCCUUCUUCCCCCUGUGACCCCAUGAAGGGAGGAAGUAGUUUCAGUUAGUGAGACAAACGUAAAUACUCAGACGCGGAUCCAGUGGUAAUUCUUUCUCUUUCUAAAACUUGUUUGGACGUUGGAAAGUUCAUAAAGACUCAUUUUCUUUUUUAAAGAAUUAAAUCGUCCACAUGAAUAUUUAAUACAGAAAACCACACUGUGGCAGACACUGCACAUCUCCCCCUCCCCAAGAGCUUUUAUGUUGUUGUUUGACAGUGUGUUGUCGCACAUGGACUUUUUAUUCAAAGACAAGUAUAAAGUACUUGACAGGUUUACUCUGCCACUUUCUAUUUGUAUGCGUUAUGUAAGGGCAGUUUUAAACGACUAUACAUAAAAACCUCAGGUACUUCCUGACCAAAAAGUGUAGGAGCAUACAAAGAAUUCUAAGUGUUCUGAGAAUUGUACUGAGAUACGGGUAAAAUCAAUUUUCUUUUCUUUUCUUUUUCAAAAAAAGAAGAAAUUAAGUUAUACUUAAAAUCCUUGGGAGGUUAAAAAAUUGUAGAAGGUGCCAUCCUUUCAUGUCAGGGCAGUUCUUCUUGAGGUCCCAGGAUUGUCAUUGGCUGUUUGUGCCAUGAUGUUUGACUGUGUAAUGAGAGAGGUGUCAUUUUAAUAGGUCAAAUGUAUCUGUAAAUGCUGGAGAAAAAUAUCAGUUCUAACUUGACAAGUUCUAGUUCAUGAGUAAGUUAAGUGUUUCGAGCUUGUUUAUGGAGGCAUUCGUAAUGUAGGUUGGUAUAAGGGGGAAACACCAAUUUAAAAUUCCUCAGUCAGGCAAAUUGCUAGAAAAAUGUACCUGGGUUACACGUUUUGAUACUUUGUUUCAUGUUCGCUGAAGGAAAACUUUCGUUGGUUAAAAUGAAGCAGCCCUGCUUGGCGAAAUCCCUUGUUUUACUAGUGUAUGUUACAUUGGUUCAAAUUUUUUGUGUCAUUAAAUUAUUGUCACUGUAGAAUAAGUUAUUUUGUGGAGGUUAUUUUUGAGUUUAGUGUCCUGCUUACAAUAAAUUGUUUCACAUUUCCUGCAAACGUACGGAUAAACGUUUAAAAGAAUGAAGUUAAUAUAGCUGUCACGUACUAGGCAUGUUUUUAAUGCUAUAAAUCCGUGUAGUAGUCAGUAGCGUGUCCGUGAUUUGUAUUGGUCAGGGAGCAGUUUGAAUUUUAAAAAGCCUGAAGCUCCUGCUGAGCCCCAAUCCCGGCCUCCCUCCCUCCCACUAAUCUCCCAUUCCUGUCUUUGUGCUGCCUGCUCCUGUUAGACACUGUUUGCUACGGGGCCUCAGGCCUACUGCGGGUGGGGGGUGUACGAGUGGGGGGCAUGCCAGGGAGGGAAAGCAGACGGGAGGAACACUUCACAUCUUAAGAAAGCAGAGGGUUUGCUUUUUUGGGGAUGGGGGUGGUAAGGGCUUCAUUAUAAAUGUUUCAAAGGCCCUCAUGUAUUCCUGUGAUUGUCUCUACAACUUUUAUUUAAUUAAAAUACUAAGAUGUAUAUCAAGGGAUAAACAUAUGUUUACUAAAGAUAAUGGAAAGAGGAGUUCUGCUUGCUUAGUUUUCGUGAACUGAAGCAACUUAUUUUUGGAGGUUGUCUUAUGCAGAUGUUUGAAUAAGUGUGUUAGAGAUGGGUUUAUGUGAUUGAUUCUUUUUUUCUUGAGACUUUGCAAUUAAGUUAUAGUGAAUUAGUUCUUCCCAACUUAUUUUCCCAAUUCUACAUAUUUAGUAAUUUGUGAGUAACAUAGGUUGUGUGAUAGCUUUCAUUAUGAUAGCGUAAACGUUUCUUUAAAUUUAAAAAAGUGUUUUGUUUGGUCCAAACCAAUUAAAUACGUCAUUUUUAAAGGAGAAAACAUUGUGUAAAAAUCAAAUUGUAAAAUUUAAACUUGAACUUUAAAUCUCUGAUAACCUAGUUGGAGAGAAUAGUUUGUUUCCUUAAAGAGUGUAGUCUGUUCUGCUUCCCCUCUGUUGGUUGGAAUAUUCACCAGUGGCUAAUCAUCUAUUUCCAUUAAAAAAAAAAAAUUAAAAUUCGGUGAAAGGAAAAAUCAGAAGUGUUCCAGUAAUCUUAUAAUCCUAAUUAUAUUAUUUGGAGAAUAUUUUCUAAUACACCUAAAGAAAAUUUCAACAGUGUCGCUUAUUGUUUCUCUUGACUCGGAAGAGUUGUCAAUAACUUUUUUUACUUGAAAAGAGAUUUCAAGUAAAUAAUGAAAGUAAAUUACAGUUGAAUACUAAAUAGAUAAUUUUCAAUGUUUCAGAAGUGUAUAUAGGAUGCUUCCUUUUUAAAGUCAUUCAACAACUUGUUUACUGAAGUUAUUUGAGAACAUUUUUGAACCUGUUGUAGAGAUCAUUAUAAUAUUUUCUGCUUUUAAGCAAAAGUUACACAUUACUUGAAAAAAGAAAAACUGUCUACUUGGGAUUCUUUUUAGGGAUGAAAAGGGAAAGUUUUUACUGUGGCAGUAAACUUGGUUCUUCAUAGUAAUCAUUAUUAAAUUUCAAAAAUAUGAGCAAAGCUAUACCAAUACAAAAUUUUCUUUACUUGCAGCCAGACUACCCCACUGAAAAAUGUAUUUUCUAAGGCUUCUUCAACUAAUUGCAGAUUUAAUUUUUUGGUACCAAUCCAUCAUCAAACUGUCAUAGAAAUAUUUGAACAUAUCUGUGUUACAUGUUUGAUAUACCCCAUUGUGAUAUUUUUACUUUCUCAAAAUAAGAUGUAGUAAUUGAUAAUAUAAGAGUAAAUAAAAACCAGGAGUUUGAGUUUUAUUUAAUUUCAUUUAAUCCUCCUUUCUGGUGCUUAUUAGGAAAAGCAUAAUUUGGGAGAAAUUCUAAAAUUUUAAAUUAAGAUUUCAGUUUUAUGUGAAGUGAUUAGUGGGUCUGAGGUAAACAAUAAUUCCUUUUAGAGAAAUGUAACUUUAAUUCUGUUUAUCACAUUUGCUUGCCAUAAAAAUGAAUGGGAAAUAACUAACUAGGAACCUUUACAGAAGCCUGACAAUUAACUGUUCAGUUGAACAUGCUUAUUUUAAUAUCCUGAGCAUAAUAGGUUAGGUUUGGUGGUAAUUUAUGGUCUUAUAUAGCCUUUAAAAAUUAUUUUAAGAUGGACUUUUUAGGCACAGUUUUUUCUUUUUUCAGCAGUUGUCAUUUAUAAUAAUUCUUUGUAUUUUAAAACUAGUUCUUUUUCAAGAUGAUCUGAGUUCAUUUAAAAAUAUUCUGAUAUCCCUGUGAGAGAAGUGACCAGCAUGAUUUCCGUUUAAUGAUGAAAUACUUGACACUUAAUAGACCAUAUGAUUUGUAUAGAUUCAUGUAGUAAGUCAGCAGGAGAAUAAGGGAUUCCCUGACACUAGUGUUUUCUUAGAUUACGUUGCUUUAAGAAAUGUGUGAGCUCUGGUCUUGAAGCUAGGUAUUGCUCAGCGCUGACACUGAUACCAUUUAUGACUUUUUCAAUUAUCUAAGUUCAAAGUGCAUUUUCCUCUUCUUUUAGAGAGAUGAUACCUGUUUCUUGGUUGUAUUUUCCUGGUAUGAAAAUAGAGUGGGAUUUUAGUGUUUCUGGUUGAUUUAAAAAGAAUUUUAAACUCCAUGUCUCUUAAGGCCAUCAUUGUAAUUUUAAAGAGUAUUUUAUGUGUGUAGAAUAUUUCACCCAAAUAAAUUAAUAAAAGUAAUUUUAGAUAGAUGUGUGUAAUUUUUUUUUUUUUUUGGUGUAAAUCUGGAGUCAAUUUUAUUGAAUUGAGUUUUGUCAAAUUGCAUUAUGUUUUAAGACAUAUUUUUUUUCUAUUCCCAAAGUUGUAUCAUUAGGAGAGAUCAUUUCUUGAUGUAGCAUUGCCAGCUAAGAUUUUGUCACAUAAGAUUUUGAGGACUUACUAUUUGCCGGGAGUUAAGUCUGUCCCCAUAAUAUCUCAUUUAAUCUUUUAACAAGCCCAAAAGUAGAAACAAUAAUUAUCUACAAUUUAUAGAUGAGGCAACUGAGGCUGGAAAGGUUUAGAAAACUGCCCAUGGUCCUGUAAUUAGUAAAUGAUCAGUCUGAUUUACAUUUGUUCUUAUGGAUUCAGGAUUCUAUAUAUCUAGUUUCAGUGAAAUUUUAAUAUUAUCCUUUGGGUGUUGGUUGAUUUGAUACUUGCCAGUCAUUUAGUCAAGAAAAUUGUGUAUUUCAGGCAAAGAAGCUGAAAUAGAAUUCAGGCUAUAUAUUCUGUAUAUAUAAUACUUUUAAAAAUCAGUAACUCUUUACCAUCUUAUAUUUAAAACAAUUUUUGGUAAGCAGUCUGAAGCUUUUAGUUCGUUUAAGUAUUUUAUAUUGAGUUGAAGUUGUUUGUCAAAGCAUCUGUUGUUAGAAAGACAAAAUUCAGCUUUAGAGUCAUUUCAUUCAUAGAAAUGUAUAUGACCAAUUGUAGGAUAGUAGCUGAAUCUAUAAAUUAGUAUGACUGAUCAUUUUGUACAGUUUCAGUAUUUUUAUAGCCAGAGAAUGUUGAUCGUUACAGUCUUCAACUUGGGAGGUUGUGCACUUAUUCCAGAACUGUUGCCAUUACAUACAACCUUAUAGGAAUUCCUUUAACGCAUUUGAAAUAGUCUUUUUCUCAUCUUUAUGACAAAUCUUUAUUUUCUGGAGUGAAUUUAAGUUUUAGAUACUGUACAGCAUCACUUGAAACUUAGUUUAGGAAACUAAGAUUUAGUAAGGGUUUUUUUGUGUGUGUCUGGCUCUAUGUUGAGCGCUUUAUGUUUGUAAUAUGUGAUAUUAUUGAAUGUUUCCAUGUGCCAGAAACUGUGCCAGGGAAAAAGUUUUUAGUUCCUCAAGGUAUUGAAAAGUUGAAUAUGAAGUUGAAGUUAGUUGUAUGAGAAAACUGAGAUAUGGAAUGAUUACGUGACUAGCCCAAGGUCACACAACUAGUAAGUUAAAGAAAGUGGAGAAAGGAUUUCAGAGUUUAUACUUUACCCGUAAGCCUUAACCACGAUACUGUCUGUCGUGAUUUGAACCACCCAACUACUCAGUGAAGUGAGUGAUACUGUUCUCUUUUUACAGAGGAAAUUGAGGUUCAUCAUGUUUAAGAAACUUGUUCAGGGUAGCAAAUCUAGCAAGUGUUAGAAGUAGGAGUCCAGCUAAAAUAUAUCUAAUUCUAAAACCUCUAUUCUUUACAUUCUACCACCCUGGCUCUUCAAAAUUUAUAACACAAUUUUUGGUGAAAGGGUAGUCUUGGUUAUGAAGUUAGUGACACUGUUUUUCUUGUGGGGCUUACAAGAGUAAUUCUAAAAUGUUUUGGUCAGUUAUAGCUGAUUCAUUAUUUGAUUAUAGUCUUUUUUUUUUAACCACCUUGUUACUUUAUGUAUAGUACACAAAAUGUUUGUCUAUUCAAAUAUGCAUAUAAAUAGGAUGUUGAUUUUUAAAUACAUGUACUGUGGAAUAUAUUGAAUGUAGGCAUCUGUGGAAUAGGUAGCUUUAGGAAAUUUGGCAAAAGCUAUUCUCAGGCUAUAAAAAUACUGAAAUUUUAAAAAAUGAUCAGUCAUGCUAAUUUAUACAUUAACUGUAUUUUUAUGAUUUUAUCGUGACUCUUGUUACUUUUAAUAAUAAUGUUAAGCAUUAAAAAAAUUCCCAAGAAUGCAUUAAAUUUUCGAAAUAAUUCAUGUAGGUAAAUUGCUUUGCCAUCUUACAUGUGUAAUGUAUCUCUUAACGUGGAUAUACCAAAUUCCUUUAGAGUUGUCUUUUGUACGUAUUUGCCGUUUGGCAGAAAAGAAAAACUUCUUCAGAAAUUAGCAAUAUUAAUUUAUUAAAAUAAUUAUAUAUGUACUUUUAUCCUGAGAAAUUCAGAAGCUGUGACAUAAUUUUAAAAUGCUGGAUUUCCUUUUGUUAGAAUUAACAUAUUUGGGUCACUUAUGCAGAUGAAAUGCAUGGUUAUUUUUAUAUGAGCACUAUUGAAAAAUACUAUUCUAGAUACAUUAAAACUAACAAUGUCUAAAACACUAAUAAAUUAUUAAAUUCUGGAUAUAAUUUACUUUUAAAAUAUUAGUCUUUAUGAUUGAUAUUUAUGAUACUUAAUUUGGUAUUUGUAAAGCACAAAUGUCCUUUAAUCCUGGCAAGGAAAUACAUUACAGAGUUUUCUCAACACUGCUACUUGUCAACCCUUUCAGUAUUUUAAAACCUGCCUUUAGUUGUCUAUUUGAAUCAGAUUGUGGGUUGCCAGUUUCCAGCUAAAGACGUUGAUCAUCUGAGUGUAUGCUCUAUGUAAUUUGGUGUUUUUUAUGGUAAUGACCAAGUUGAAAUUUUACAUGGUGUUAAGUUGGGCAUAACAUCAUGUAUUAUUUAUUUAUUUUUUAUUAAUACUAUUCUUUGAAAUUGAUGUACAUGAAAAAUAUGUCUUCCUGGGAUUCUGCUUAUACCUCAGAAAGCUCUAAGAUUGAAAGUUGAAAUGUCAUGACCUGAAAACUACUGAUUCUUUCCCCUUUAAGAAAAGAAUUCGGAAACUAAUAUUUAUUCCAUAAGCUUACCUUCAAGUUAUCCUGAAAGACACACGUGACAUACGCUUUUAUUUAACUCUACUAAUCUUUUUACUAUUUUCUCUUUCCCUUUUCCUAUGUAUCUCUUCCUUUAACUAUCAGUGUCCAUUUCAUCUCCCCCAAAGCAAAUUUUUACAUACUGUGGCUAAUAUAGGUAUUUGUUGUUAAUGUGGAUGGUCUUGUAAUGUGUUACUUUCUCUGAUGAAACCCAGAGCAUUUUCAGAGGCCUCAAAUUCUGAGAUCUGCAUAAGUUCAAAAUAGAUUACUGGUGGAAAAGCAUUGACAUUAGCCAUGAAAAUAUCUAUUUGUGUAUUUUCCCCACUUUUCUUCUAUAGACAUACAUUACUUUUCAGAAUUUCAGCUCAAGGACCAGAAAUUUUUUCUAAGGAGAAAAAGCACUGCCUUUGCAAAAGUUUCCCUGAUCAUUCCAUUUCAUAGCAUUUGUACAGUUUUUUACUUGUAUCUCUUGAUAAAAUAAUUUGUUCCUAUAUUUGUCAGCCAUACUAAACCGUCAGCUCUGUGAAAGCAAAGAGAUUUUGUAUUAUCUUCAUCUGUAUGUGUAUAACAUCAUCACAGUGGUGCUCCUGUUUUAGGUAUUCAAUAUAUAUUUGUUGUUUAGUUAGAAUUGAGUCAUAUGGUGUUUCUUAAAGGUAUGUUUUUAAAUCUAAGAUUAGUGAAUGGCAAGUAUAUUUCUCUUAAUUUCAAAAUAUAAUUUUCUUAGGUAGAGCUGUGUCCUUGAGGACUUCUUGCUUUGGGGGUAGGAAUAUUUUAUUUACAUAUAUCCCUAACAAUAUGUACAUAACUUUAUAAACAUGAAGAAAAAUUUAAAGCAGCAUUCCUUUUUAAGCUGUUAGGGAGGAUCGUGAAAUACAGGAAGAGUUUUUUGUUCUGUUCUGUUCUGAUUUUCUGAACUGAUUUGUUCAGUUCAGUAUCCAGUAAGAUACUGGAGUGUUGCAAGAGGUGAAGUAUCUAAAUACUUUCUUGUUUUAAUCUUUGGAUUUAUUUUAGUUUUUAUUUUCUUUGCCAAUUUAAGUAUUAUAUAUAAUCAGAUAAGUUAACUAAUGAGAAAUACGUUACAGCACGUAAAAAAUGCUAUUCAGGGUCAGCAAAGCCUGAGUCCUGUCCUCUCACUCUCCUCCCCGGACAGCAUGAGCUUCACCACUCGCUCCACCUUCUCCAUCAACUACUGGUUCCUGGGCUCCGUCCAGCCACCCAACUAUGGCGCCUGACCGGUCAGCAGUGCAGCCAGCGUCUAUGCAGGUGCCAGGGGCUCUGGUUCCCAGAUCUCUGUGUCCUGCUCCACCAGCUUCCGCAGCAGCUUGGGGUCCAGGGGCCUGGCCAAGUGGAUGGCCCGGAGUCUGGCAGGAAUGGGAGACAUCCAGAACAAAGAGACCCUCCAAAGCCUGAAUCUGGCCUCCUACCUGGACAGAGUGAGGAGCCUGGAGACCAAGAACCAGAGACUGGAGAGCAACAUCUGGGAGCACCUGGAUAAGAAGGGACCCCAGGUCAGAGACUGGGGCCCAUUAUUUCAAGACCAUCGAGGAUCUGAGGGCUCGGAUCUUUACAAAUACUGUGGACAAUGCCUGCAUUGUUCUGCAGAUUGACAAUGCCCAUCUUGCUUUCGAGUCAAGUACGAGACAGAGCUGGCCAUGUGCCAGUCUAUAGAGAACGACAUCCAUGGGCUCUGCAAGGUCAUUGGUGACACCAGUGUCACUUGGCCAUAGCUGGAGACAGACAUUGAGGCUCUCAGGGAGGAGCUGCUCUUCAUGAAGGAGAACCACGAAGAGGAAGUAAAAGGCCUACAAGCCUAGCUUGCCAGCUCUAGGUUGACCAUGAAGGUAGAUGCCCCCAAAUCUCAGGACCUCGCCAAGAUCAUGGCAGACAUCCAGGCCCAAAACGAUGAGCUAGCUCAGAAGAACCAAGAGGAGCUAGAUAAGUACUGGUCUCAGCAGAUUGAGAAGAGCACCACAGUGGUCACCACUCAGCCCGCGGAGGUUGGAGCUGCUGAGAUGACACUCACGGAGCUGAGACAUAUGGUCCAGUUAUUGGAGAUCCACCUGGAUUCGAUGAGAAAUCUGAAGGCCAGCUUCUGGAGAACAGCCCGAGGGAGGUGGAGACCUGCUAUGUCCUGCAGAUAGAGCAGUUCAACAGAAUCCUGCUGCACCUGGAGUCAGGGCUGGCACAGACCCAGGCAGGGGGCAGCGCCAGACGCAGGAGUACGAGGCCCUGCUGAACACUGAGGUCAAGCUGGAGGCUGAGAGUGUCACCUACCACUGCCUGCUUGAAGAAGGCAAGGACUUCAAUCUUGGUGAUGCCCUGGACAGCAGCAACUGAUGCAAACUAUCCAAAAGACCACCACCCGCUGGAUAGUGAACGGCAGAGUGGUGUCUGAGACCAGUGACACCAGAGUUCUGAGACAUUAAGCCAGCAGAAGCAGGGUACCCUUUGGGGAGCAGGAGGCCAAUAAAACGUUCAGAGGUCAUUGGGGAGAAAAAUGCUAUUCAGUUAAAAUACUGAUUUGAUGACUGAAUUUUUUUUUAAUAUGUCAGGUGUGUUGAGGUAUAGUUUAUACAGUAAAACUCAGUCUUUUAGGUGUACAGUUUGAUGACUUUUGACAAACAUACACCAUCUUAAUACCACCACCACAAUCAAAGUAUUUCCGUUACCCCAGAAGUUCCCAUGUGUCCCUUUGUAAUCAGUUUCCUGCCCCUACUGCAGCCCAAGGCAACUAGAUCUGGUUUCUGUCUCUAUAGUUUUUCCUUUUCUAGAACAUAAAAAUGGAAUUAUAUAUAGCCCUUUAUGUCUUUUUUUUGAUUUAGCAGAAAUCUUCUGAGAUUCAUUCAUGUUCUGUGUAUCAGUAGUUUGUCAAUGACUGAAGUUUAAAAUUGUUAACUUUGGUGAUGCUCUUAUGAAAGAGUAUUAUAAAAAAGUAGUACUUUGAACAGUUGUAGAUAUUUCUCUCAGAUUUUGGCAGCUGCCUUAUUGAACAUUUUAGUUGCUCGUUUUUACCCCUCGCCUCCCAAAUUUUACUUGCCUGUUUUUACCGCUCACCCCCAAAUCUAGUCUAAUUGACAUCAUUAUAUGGCAUUUAUUUAUAUUAGUAAAUGCUGCUUAAUGCUCUACCCGGCAGGUGAAACAGACCUACUCUCUUUUUCAUCAUAAUUAAAAUAGGUAGCAUCUUGCAUUUUGAAUAUAUAGCACGUAGAAACUAGAAUAAAAAAUGAGAGAUAGUGCAAUAACACCAAAAACUUGAGUUUAUAUUUGCUUUAGGUUUAGUGUUUGUAAGUUUGUACUAAAAAUAGAGCAUAGAUUAUAGUGAAUAACAGUCACAACCUCUCUUCCAAUGAUUAAAGUUAGAAAAGCAGUGCUCUUUUAUGAAACUUGGGGACAGAUAAUGAGAAAAGAAUCAUUUUCUGGACAUUUUAUUCGACCACCUUUCCUCCAACCCCUUCCUUUUUGAAACAGCUUCAUCUCUGGGAUAUUCUCUUCUUCUUGUUUCCUUAUGUCUUUGACCUCCCAUUUGUUAAGUCUUUUGCUAGGUCUUGGUCCUCUAUGUACCUCUUUAAAUAUUUGUAUUCUCCAGGAGGUGCUUCAAACUUAUUUCUGUUCUCCCUUCCUGUUGAUCUUAUUUAUUCACAUGAUUUGUUACAUGCCACCUGUAUAAUGACGACUCACAAAUCUAUCUCAGAAUGUAUUUCUCUUCUGAGCCAGAUUCAGCUGUCUACCAGGUACCUCCUGAUGUCCCACAAAUAACAGAAAUUCCAAAGUAUGUAAGUCUGAACUCAUUCCUUAAUUCUUCCUUACUCUGACCUGUCACCCAGAGAAAGAAAACUAUUCUUAAAAAAUACAUGAAGUAGGUUAAUGUUUUCACUAUCAACUCAUUUGCGUAAAGUAGAAAUUCGGGGUAAUCCUUGACACUUCUUUACCAUACUUCCAGUUCAGUUGUUCACCCAGUUCUGACAUUUGUAACACUUCCCUGAAUAUCACUUGAAUCUACCCUUCCCCCAAUGUUUUGAUUCUGUGAGUGGGCCUGAACAUACAGUUUUGUCAGAUUUAAUAACUUCUAGUAUUUUAAGAAAGAUUUAGAGGUAAUUGUGAAAGUAAUAUGUAUUUACUAUUGGAUGCUCUUUGCUUCUAUGCUUGGGCUCUGGUAUUUAAAAUUAAGGUGUAAUCUUUAGUGACAGUGACACUAUAUAGCCUAAAUGUUACUGUGUUCUGUUAUGUUUAAAAUUUAGGGCUUUUGACUUAGAGCCCAGUUUAUCAGCUGGAAGACUUGAACUCGUUUUUUAUCUUUCCAUUCUUGCUUUUAGAAUACUCCAUUUCAUGGAGGUGUAUAUUCAUUUCAAGACUUUGUGUUUAUGUGUUUUGGAGCAUGGUAGAGGAGAAAAUGGGAAUGUAUACGGAAAGUUAAAGGAAAGGCUUUUGAAUUGACUAUCCUAUACUGUGGAAACAAGUUUACUUAAAUAACAUUUUCACUUUUAUUGCAAACAACAGAAAACUAAAGAAAUGCUGUGGGAUAUGAUAGCAUUCAGGUGCUAGGCAUGCACAUAUUUUUAAUGACAGGAAUUAGAUAUGUUGUAACAGUAUUACUUGUUUCUGAGUUUGGAAAUUAAUGUUCAUGGUUUUGUAUAACCUUAUGAUAUUUCUUCCUUAAAAUAAGAAAUUACCCCUCUAGCCCACAGUUUGAGCCAAAGGGUCUGCUUGAAAUUAUUAGUUUAAAUAAUCCUGAGCGCAUCUUUUGUAAAGGACAUUUAAAAAUGUAAUGCUGCUUUGAAAAACAAAGCAAGCAUUUCUUCGUUAUAUCUAGAGUUUAUAACUAAAGAAACUAUGUGCUAUAUUUUGCUUUAGUGCUAAGUACCAUAUUUUGGAAUGAAUAGAAUCAAUCUAAAGGCAGUUUACAAAGACUGGAGGGAGACCCAGUUUGGUAGUCAUUGGAUCCCUUUGGUGGCUUGCACAUAGUAAGCACUCAACAAACAAUUGUUGAAUAAAUGAAUUUGAAUAUAUUUCAAUGUGGGGAUAUAGGACUAAUUAGAGUGACAGAAGAUGGGUGGGACUUGCUAAAUACUGAGCAAGUUUUACAGAGGAAAGAAAACAUGAAACCCAGAAAUGGUGGACAACAUUGACAGCAAAGAAUUGGUGUAAUUUAGUUAACUAUUUUUAUCUGGACAAUAAGGUUUGUUUAAUUGAAUAAGAGAAAGAUCUAUAUACAAAAGUGUUUUGAGUUCCUUCUACUUUAUUUCCACUCUGGCUCUAUUUCUGGACCCCCAUGUUCACUGCUAAAGAAGCAGUUGUAGGCUUGGGGCUAAAGUGAUCUGCGUAAUCCAGAUACUCAUAUUAAGAACUGGGAGGUGUUGUUGGGAAAGAGAUUUUUCUUACAGUUCUUCAAUCUUUCCAGUUACUCAUGUUUCUUAGUAUGUGUCAGGGUGCCACUGCACUGUCCUCAGUGUUCAUAUGCGGGUGUCUAAAAACUAGACCUUAAAAUCACAUAUAAUUUGCAAUAAGCUUAUAACUGUCCCAGGAUGAAGUUCAAUAUCUGAAUCUCUAAUAAUUAGUUACCUAGCUGUUGAGCCACAUUGCCAUCUACUCUGAUUAUCAUAUGGUUCUUAUGAUUCUGAUAUUUUAAACUGGAAGAUAAACACCACAGUUUUAGUGUGUCUCAUAAAAAUUUUAUAAUCCAGUAACAAUCCAUUCCUUUAGUUUUCUUGGAAACCAAAACUGCAUAUAGUUUUCUGAUACGUUAAGUUUAAACUGUGGAAUUUAGAACUUAAAAAUUUUCAAGAGCUUCAAAGUUGAAGACUUCUCUUAAUUUUUUUUCAAUUGUAGAACCAAUGUGAGAAAACAAACUACAUGCUAUUUGGGAAAUGGGAAAAGUAUCAAAUUUUAUGUUUUUCCUACUAAGUUUCCUAUUAAGUUUUUACAUAAAAAUAUGUAUAAUGAAUGUAAUUAUGGUUAAAUACAUAUAUUCAUGCUAUAAAUUUAUUCCUCUUUUAACAUUGGAUCAUGAAGAUUUUCCUGGUUUUCUAUAUAGUGUUUUGUAAUUCUUUUUUUUUUUUUUUUUGAGACGGAGUCUCGCUCUGUCGC